GGACUACCAGGGUAUCUAAUCCCGUUUGCUCCCCUGGCCUUCGUGCCUCAGCGUCAGUAACUGUCCAGAAACUCGCCUUCGCCACUGGUCUUCCUUACGAUCUCUACGCAUUUCACUGCUACACCGUAAAUUCCAGUUUCCUCUCCAGUUCUCUAGCAAGGCAGUAUCCAAUGCAGUUCCAGGGUUGAGCCCCGGGAUUUCACAUCAGACUUACCCCGCCGCCUACGCACCCUUUACGCCCAAUGAAUCCGAACAACGCUCGAGACCUCUGUAUUACCGCGGCGGCUGGCAC
rnacentral:rRNA from 1 species